GACACUAGAUGGCAGUGUAAUGCUGCACUCUUCCUGACCCAAAGCAUCAUCUCAAGGCUGUGGUGUUUUGAAACAUAAAUAACCAGUCUCUCUCUCCCUCCUGCAGUACCUGGGCCAAGCUGCAGAAGUUCUCAGCGCCCCUUUGAGAUGAUGGAUCAACCCUUGAUUUUGCUGCCACGGUGAACAGAGGAUGGAGACGGUGAUUUGAGGAGAGCGACUCAGUGCAGCUGCGUCUGCUGAAAGGAGAGGGGAGGGCCGGAGCAAUGGAGUGGAAAGAAUUGAAAAGGCUCGGCGGGGGGACGGCACAUACCUUUAAGCCCCCCCCCCCCCCACCUCCCCUCACUCACUCAAGCCUCUUUCAGCGUCGGUGACCACUCUGAGGCGUCAACAGAGCCAAGACAAAGUGUCGGUGUGUUUGGGGGUAAACACCACGGGAUCCCGCAGCUCUGAAGAUGGCCCGGACGAUAGGGCGUUUGGCAUCGCGCCGCCCUCCACCCAAAGCGGGGACGUCUGGCGGUGUGACACGGUGGAAACGACCCGACAGCUGCAGCUCACGCGGACAGAUAAGAUGACAGGGGGCCCAUUCUCAUGCCGAGACAUGAGAGGAGUGCAUGACGCAUCAAAGUGGACGGCACGGCAUGAAAAAGGCAGACUGGAAACUGGAACACGAGUAAGAUGAAGAAACCAGAUGCAUGGUCCAAACAAGAAGACAUGAGCCAGGCUCGGAAUCCAGGACCUCCAGACUAUGAGCCGAACGGGAUGUCAGCGCCAUCCUGACUCCCAUCGAUUGCGCACCCAGACAACGUGGCCUCGACUCACCCCAAGCGGCGCACCA